rnacentral:rRNA from 1 species
AAAUUGAAGAGUUUGAUCAUGGCUCAGAUUGAACGCUGGCGGCAGGCCUAACACAUGCAAGUCGAACGGUAACAGGAAACAGCUUGCUGUUUCGCUGACGAGUGGCGGACGGGUGAGUAAUGUCUGGGAAACUGCCUGAUGGAGGGGGAUAACUACUGGAAACGGUAGCUAAUACCGCAUAAUGUCGCAAGACUAAAGAGGGGGACCUUCGGGCCUCUUGCCAUCGGAUGUGCCCAGAUGGGAUUAGCUAGUAGGUGGGGUAACGGCUCACCUAGGCGACGAUCCCUAGCUGGUCUGAGAGGAUGACCAGCCACACUGGAACUGAGACACGGUCCAGACUCCUACGGGAGGCAGCAGUGGGGAAUAUUGCACAAUGGGCGCAAGCCUGAUGCAGCCAUGCCGCGUGUAUGAAGAAGGCCUUCGGGUUGUAAAGUACU